GGUGAUAGAAGCGAUCCUUUUUCCCUUUCUUCAUUCUUGGCUGAUCUUUGCGUUUCUGUUGUUGAUAGAGUGAAAAGAGACGGAGAGAAUUGCAGAGAAUAGGUGCUGUGUGUUGUGAUCGUGUUUGUUUUCCUUUUAUGGUUUGUUUCGGUGGACGCGACCUUUUUUCUUUCUCUUCGUUUUUGCCUCAGCUCUGCGCUCUUGGGAGAGAGUUGCAGAGAAUAGGAGUUCAUGUUAGUAACGAGAGGGAAGACGAAGAUUGGAAUUAGAUAGAGGAAAGCAGGAGAGUACUUUCUUUGGCGAUUUUGUUUUGUUGGCGAUUUCGGGUUUGUUUGGUCGUCGGUGAAUUAGGGCCUGUCGCUGUUAAUUUGGAUCAGAGGGUCGGUUUUAGAGAGAGAGAGAGAGAGAGAGAGAGAGAGAGAGAGAGAGAGAGAGAGAGAGAGAGAGAGAGAGAGAGAGAGAGAGAAUGGUUGUCGUUCAGAUCCAACAAAAAAAAGAAAAAAGAAGAAGAAAGGUUUGUGGUGUUUGAAGAGAGAGAGAGAGAAGAGGAUUUGGUUUCGACAGUACCGAAUUUGUGGCCUUCGUUUUGGUUUGUUUCUUAUUUUCAGUCAGUUUUUUUUUUCUUUUCUUUUUUCCUAUGUCAUUGUACAUUGUUUUUAACCAGCAAAUUGAUAUAUGUUUGUUGUCUUAGAAGUACGUCUCUUUCUGUUUUGAAAUUGUGAUUGUCCCAAUAUUUUGAUAGCUUGGAGAUUUAUUUGUCUGGUAUGAAUGUGAAACAAGAAUCAUUGACAGAGUUCCAGUGGUGAUCAUGUGCUCAGAGAACAUCCUCAGUUGAAUCGAUAGAAAAGCAGCUUCCAAGAGCCGUACUUGAAAUCAAGAGCCUGGAUGUGUUCUGAUCAUCAUUAACAAGAAAGAAAGAAAGAGGGUGAGGGAGGUGGGGAUUUUGAAGAAGGAUCCCGAGAUCCUGAAGGAGCAGAUUGAUAAGUUGAAUAAACAAAGGAAGGCAGCAUUAAACCAGCGGCAUCAUCCAUGGAAACCUUCAACAAAGAGAAAACAAACUAAAGUGUGAUGACACUUUUUAUGUACAAAGAACUGGAGGAAGCAACUUUUUGCACAACCUCCACAGCUGUUAACUACCAGGCUAACAACCUUUUGGCAACACAUAUGCUAACAGACAUCAUCAUCUAUUUUUAACAAAUACAUCAAGCAAUAAUUGUAAUUAAGUUAGCCUACAACUGUACCUAUUUUUUGCAAGCUGUUCGAACAGCAAAUGUAAGUAU